rnacentral:misc_RNA from 1 species
CAGAGUUCAUGCCCUAACGGGUAGACCUCCCACCCUGUGUUAUUGUACCCUUAUUGCUUUGGCAGGUCGUCGUCAAGCCUCCGGCUCGCGCUGGAGUGUGCCUGCCAGAGAACCUAAACUCUGUUUUUACUGUCGUCUGAGUACUAUAUAAUAGUUA